CUGUUUGAAAGGCUGAGGGUGAAGGAGCGACAGAUCUGAAAAUAGCCGGAGCUGAGGGGCCUCAGGGUCUACCCUGACUCGCUUUUCCCGGACGGUCUCCUAGGAGAGAGGCUGUGGCCAGCUGACGCGACUUCCUUCUGCUACUGAGGUGAGAAGUCUUAGGGCAGAUGCGGAUGUCCAGGGCUUCGAGAAAUUAUGAUGUAUUUCCAUAAAGUUGCACCAGUGUGCCUGCCUCUUCUGCUCCCCCUUCGCCCUUCUCCACCUCUUCUGCCUCUGCCACCCUUGAAACAGCAAGACCAACCCUUCCUCCUCUUCUUCCUCAGACUGCUCAACAUGAAGAUGAUGAUGAUGAAGAGUUUUAUGAUGAUCCACUUCCAC
rnacentral:lncRNA from 1 species